AUGUAUGUAUAUUUAAAGUUUAUACACAUUUUGAAGACCAUUUUAAUCGGUCAGAAAGAAGAAAAAUUAAACAAGAAAAGGGGGGAAAAGAAGAAAAAAUUAAACAAGAAAAAGAGAAAAAGAAGAGAAUAUAAAAAAAGGGUAGGCCGACGAAAGGAUUUUUCAGGUAGUAUGUAUGUAUAUUUAAAGUUUAUACACAUUUUUAAGACCAUUUUAAUCUGUCAGAAAGAAGAAAAAUUAAACAAGAAAAGGGGGGAAAGAAGAAAAAAUAAACAAGAAAAAGGGAAAAAGAACAGAAAUUAA
rnacentral:rRNA from 1 species